rnacentral:misc_RNA from 1 species
GAUGAAGAACGUAGCGAAAUGCGAUACUUGGUGUGAAUUGCAGAAUCCCGUGAACCAUCGAGUCUUUGAACGCAAGUUGCGCCCGAAGCCAUCAGGUUGAGGGCACGUCUGCCUGGGCGUCACAUAUCGUUGCCCAAUGCCUAUUGCAGUGCAAUAGGAAUUUCUAGGGCGAAUGAUGGCUUCCCGUGAGCGUUGUUGCCUCGCGGUUGGUUGAACAUCGAGUCCUUGGUAGGGUGUGCCAUGGUAGAUGGUGGUCGAGUUAGAACGAUACCGAUCAUGUGCAUGCUCCCCAAAAUAUGGCCUCUAUGACCCACACGCGUCUUUUGACGCUCAUGACGAGACCUCAGGUCAGGCGGGGCUACCCGCUGAAUUUAAGCAUAUCAAUAAGCGGAGGA